rnacentral:rRNA from 1 species
UACGUAGGGGGCAAGCGUUGUCCGGAUUUAUUGGGCGUAAAGAGCGUGUAGGCGGUUUGGUAGGUCCGUUGUGAAAACUCGAGGCUCAACCUCGAGACGCCGAUGGAAACCAUCAGACUAGAGUCCGGAAGAGGAGAGUGGAAUUCCGUGGUGUAAGCGGUGAAUGCGCAGAAUAUCAGGAAGACACCCGUGGCAAGGCGGACUCUCUAGUACGGUACUGACGCUGAGAGCGAAAGCGUGGGGAGCGAACGGAUUAGAUACCGUGAGA